UAGUCCAUGCAGAAGUA
rnacentral:tRNA from 1 species